rnacentral:tRNA from 2 species
UCCUCCAUAGUUCAGAUGGUAGAACGGCGGACUGUUAAUCCGUAUGCACUGGUUCGAAUCCAGUUGGAGGAG